CCUACGGGAGGCAGCAGUGAGGAAUAUUGGUCAAUGGGCGGAAGCCUGAACCAGCCAAGUCGCGUGAGGGAAUAAGGCCCUACGGGUCGUAAACCUCUUUUGCCGGGGAGCAAGGGCGGGGACGUGUCCCGGCCCGGAGAGUACCCGGAGAAAAAGCAUCGGCUAACUCCGUGCCAGCAGCCGCGGUAAUACGGAGGAUGCGAGGGUUAUCCGGAUUUCUUGGGUUUAAAGGGUGCUUAGGCGGGCUUUUAAGUCAGCGGGAAAAAUGCGGGGCUCAACCCCGUCCGGCCGUUGAAACUGGGGGCCUUGAGUGGGCGAGAAGAAGGCGGAAUGCGUGGUGUAGCGGUGAAAUGCAUAGAUAUCACGCAGAACCCCGAUUGCGAAGGCAGCCUUCUGGCGCCCUACUGACGCUGAGGCACGAAAGUGCGGGGAUCGAACAGGAUUAGAUACCCGAGUAGUC
rnacentral:rRNA from 1 species